UACGUAGGGUGCGAGCGUUAAUCGGAAUUACUGGGCGUAAAGCGUGCGCAGGCGGUUUGUUAAGCCAGAUGUGAAAGCCCCGGGCUCAACCUGGGAAUGGCAAUGGAUACUGGCAUGCUAGAGUGCGGUAGAGGGUAGUGGAAUUCCCGGUGUAGCGGUGAAAUGCGUAGAGAUCGGGAGGAACACCAGUGGCGAAGGCGGCUACCUGGACCAGCACUGACACUGAGGCACGAAAGCGUGGGGAGCAAACAGG
rnacentral:rRNA from 1 species